rnacentral:rRNA from 1 species
GACGAACGCUGGCGGCGUGCCUAAUACAUGCAAGUAGAACGCUGAAGAGAGGAGCUUGCUCUUCUUGGAUGAGUUGCGAACGGGUGAGUAACGCGUAGGUAACCUGCCUGGUAGCGGGGGAUAACUAUUGGAAACGAUAGCUAAUACCGCAUGAAAUGGAUUAUCGCAUGAUAAUCGAUUGAAAGGUGCAAAUGCAUCACUACCAGAUGGACCUGCGUUGUAUUAGCUAGCUGGUGGGGUAACGGCUCACCAAGGCAACGAUACAUAGCCGACCUGAGAGGGUCAUCGGCCACACGGGGACUGAGGCACGGCCCAGACACCUACGGGAGGCAGCAGUAGGGAAUCUGCGGCAAGGGAGGGAGGUCUGACCGAGCAAGGCCGGGGGAGUGACGAAGUGUUUCGGAUCGGAAAGCUCUGUUGUAAGAGAAGACCGAGUGUGAGAGUGGAAAGUUAACACUGUGACGGUAUCUUACCAGAAAGGGACGGCUAACUACGUGCCAGCCGCCGCAGUAA